UACGUAGGGUGCGAGCGUUUGUCCGGAAUUAUUGGGCGUAAAGAGCUCGUAGGCGGUCUGUCGCGUCUGCUGUGAAACCCGAGGCUCAACCUCGGGCCUGCAGUGGGUACGGGCAGACUAGAGUGCGGUAGGGAGAAUGGAACUCCUGGUGUAGCGGUGGAAUGCGUAGAUAUCAGGAGGAACACCGGUGGCGAAGGCGGUUCUCUGGGCCGUAACUGACGCUGGAGGAGCGAAAGCAUGGGAGCGAACAGG
rnacentral:rRNA from 1 species